UUUAAGUCACACAAUCUCCCUUUAAAAUGUUAAAUAACAUUAAUUAUCCUUCAGGUGACAUCAUUUUCCUCCUUUCUGUUCCAGAAUGAUUGUAAACAGAUUGUUUGUAACCAGAACAAGACUUCCUUAAGGCUUUGCUAUGGCCUUGAACCACUUGCAAUCCGCUGCAUGAAAAGAAAAACAAGCCGAUGUCCUAGAUGUGAUGGGUUUGGCAAACCAAGUAUUUAAUUGGCUGAAACACUGAUAUAAGUUUACAUGAGAUGACGAACAGAAGCCCAUAUAACAGUAUUCUUGACACCCACAGGGCUGAGCUAAGAAAUGAUGGACAGAAUCAGGGAGGAGCCAUACGAACGAGCUCAAAGUUGAAUCAGCCCGAAAAAUAUGUCGAGGUGAUGGGCGAGGCAAGACAUGUCGAUUUUUUGUAGCUUAUUGUGAAGUUGCAGUACAUGAAAAACAGGCACAUGACAAAUCAGCACAUAAAUAAAACAUUCUAGUGUUCCGUGGUAUACAUCUUUUCCACGUGUCAUACCUCCUUUCCUUAUAACAUUGAAAUUUUACUGGAUUGUUAUCCAUCGCUGGUUUGUUUUUAGCAGAGAAUGACCUGUGCAUGUGCAAAGAGGGUACCGUUUGAGCAGAUUUCGCAUAGAGGGUACCGAUAUGGAUAUAUGCACCGUGAUAUACAUCGGUAUAAAAAUUAACCUGUAACGGUAUAAAAUUAACCUGAAACGUAAAUUUAUAAAAAAAAAAAAGAGUGGGACAGUUUUUUAAAUAUUUUUGACAGAUUUAGAAAAAAUCUAUAUUUUAUCUGUGCACGAGUGGGAAAUCCUGUAAUCCCCUCCCCCACGUCUUUUUAUUUUUGUGGUCCUUCUGGAUCAUUGAUUACAAAUGUUUGGUGUCCUAAAUCGCAAUCGCAACUACUCGGCCCUUUCCGUCAGUCUUCGGAUAAGGACCUCGAACACAAUAGUAUGAAUACAAAGAACGAAUGCGGUAUUCCGGUCUAACCUACGCUAAGAAACUAAACAUGUAAACAAAUAGUAAUUUAAUGCUGAGAGUUGUUGACAAGUUUAUUUCCAAUUCAUGUAGUAAAAGUCCACCUAAAAUUACUGAAUUCAUAGGUACAAAAGCAAACAAUACAUUAUUUAUGUAUUCACUAAUACGAAAGUACAAAAAUCCAACCUGUUGCCAAAGUGUUGACAUUUAGUCGGAUUUGUUUAAAAUUGAACAUCAGUGGGCAUUUUUAAAUUACAAAUUGUUGUCAGACAUAUUUUCAAGCAUAAGAGUACCGGAACAGACAUUAGAUGUCAAUAUUUAAAUUCGUUUUACAUUAUCUCUGUUUCUAUUUACAUCUGUAAAUCACGCGGUUGAACUACUUUCAAUCCGUAUUGUUUCCGAGGUAGCCGAGGCAGUUCCGAAUGCCUAAAUCGCUCACCUGACAUCGGCUGCUAGAAAUGUUCAUUUGUUAAUGAUCGGUCCAUCAUUGAUAUAUGCAAAUUAAUUGGCCCUAAAGUGACCAUUUCUAACUCCAACAGCAUGACUUAUAUAACUUAAAUAAAUGUUAUAUUCCGAAUACCAAUGCACAUGAUUAAGAGAUUAAUACCGGAAAUGAUGAUCGGCCUACAAAAUGAAAAUUUGUUCAGAGGGCUUCAUCCCUAUGGCAUUAUUCAUUUCAGGACAUAUUUCCACUUUCUAGCCCGUCUAUGACGUGUCUUUAAUACACUUUCAAGUAUCAUCAAUGAACAGACUCAAUCAAACCGAGCCUGCAAUAUUUUCAAUUUUGUUGUGUUGGACUUUCUUUAGGGAUUCUGUUUUUCUCUAUUUUGAUGACGUAAAAUGUGACGUCAUUGUUUCAGUUUGUACACUUUUUUAUGAGUGAGACUAAAAACAGGAUUGGAGCAGCACACUAAAUACCGAAUUUAUACUGAAUGAUAAAAUGCUAAAAUCCUGUCUUUUUACCCAACGGAAUGAACUUUAACAGGUCUAAUUCAUCUUUUCACACCGAGUUAAGUAAGAUAAUACAGGAAAAAUGUAAAAAUCGGCGAAAAAAACGAUAUUUGUCUAUUUUGUGAUCAUGAUUUCUGCAAGCGUCUAGAGGUACUGCUCCAAUCCUGUAUUGAGUUAAAUCCCU